GACGAACGCUGGCGGCGUGCUUAACACAUGCAAGUCGAACGGAAAGGCCCUGCUUUUGUGGGGUGCUCGAGUGGCGAACGGGUGAGUAACACGUGAGUAACCUGCCCUUGACUUUGGGAUAACUUCAGGAAACUGGGGCUAAUACCGGAUAGGAGCUCCUGCUGCAUGGUGGGGGUUGGAAAGUUUCGGCGGUUGGGGAUGGACUCGCGGCUUAUCAGCUUGUUGGUGGGGUAGUGGCUUACCAAGGCUUUGACGGGUAGCCGGCCUGAGAGGGUGACCGGCCACAUUGGGACUGAGCUACGGCCCAGACUCCUCCGGGAGGCAGCAGUGGGGAAUAUUGCACGAUGGGCGGAAGCCUGAUGCAGCAACGCCGCGUGCGGGAUGACGGCCUUCGGGUUGUAAACCGCUUUCGCCUGUGACGAAGCGUGAGUGACGGUAAUGGGUAAAGAAGCACCGGCUAACUACGUG
rnacentral:rRNA from 1 species